rnacentral:rRNA from 1 species
CACUAAGCGGGAGGUAAACUCCUUCUAAGACUAAAUAUUGCCAUGAGACCGAUAGCGAACAAGUACCGUGAGGGAAAGUUGAAAAGCACUCUGAAUAGAGAGUCAAAAAGUACGUGAAACUGUCUAGGGUUAAGAAAGCAUGAAGUGUCUAAAUAUCUGAAUGGAGAAAUUCAGUAUCAUAUUGUUGUAGUAAAAUUUUUGCGAAGCAUAUGGUGUGCACUUUUCUCCUUGUAAGACACUGCGAUCCAUUAGAACCUUGUGUUAAUAACUACCAUGUUGUGAGUUAUUAUAUCUGUCAAUGGGCCCGGCAUGGAGCUUACAUAUUUAAUGUCAGUACUAUAUAUUGUUAAGGUGAUAUACAGGAAAGCAAUGUAAACUGCUGGUGUCUCGUAUAGAUGUCUGAUGGAUUUUAAGCGUUCACAAUAUGACACCUCGGUGUAACCAGUAAUGGUUUAUUGUAUUGUGUCGGAUCAGCAGUGUAUUUGUUUAGUAAUCUUCAUGA